ensembl:lncRNA
GGGAUGCACCAGGUCCUCUGCAGGUGCUUCCAAUAGAUGCCGCAAGCUGCCCUCACGAGCAGCAGCUGCUGGGGAGCAGGAGAUUAUUUAGGUGGGCUUCCAGGGGGCCCUGUAACCGUAGGGUUGAGCUUGGGUGGUGCUGCUGGUGGGUGUUUGCUGCCUUUAGAUGGGGGCUCCUGUCCUGGCUCUCUCUGUCAGGUCUGAUGUUCUUCACUUGUCAGAAUCUCCAAAGUAGCAGCCCUCUUGAAUUAGAGGGUAAAGAGCAGCAAGUAGGAAAAACCUAUUUCCAAGGUUCGCCAUGCGUUGUGAGCAGAGAAGAGCCAAGGCGUUGGACACUGUCAAUGAAUCUGUGUUGCAACAGAAGCCACUUCUGUCUGCGUGCACAGCUGCUACACUUCUAACCCAGCUGUCAGAUCUCCUGGACUCUGAACAGGAUUCUCUCUGCCGAUGUUUCUGAAUAAUGAUAAGGGGGCUGGUGAUGUAAUAUAUAUUCUGGAACACUUUGUCCACAUGUUAUCGGAAUGCACGCAAUGCAAGAGUUAUGGGAAAUAUAUCAUCGUCCCUCAACUGGAGUUUAUACAGAAUAUUACUCUGCCAUAGGAUCCCUUUAUCUACAUUCUAGAUGGCCUGACAAUGACUCCCCAAAUGCUUGAAGCCAAUUUAAAAAGGAUACUAAGAGCACUCUAAUAGCUGAAGUUAUUACUACUAAAGUGUAAAUCAAUGCUGUGUACAUUCCAAGAAGGAAGAGCGAGUCAGAAUAAGCUUUGUCUUAAUGGAAAUAGUAUUUUAGACAAAUUCUGUAUAUGUGGAGGCAGAUCCUACAUGUAUGGCGCCAUACUCUGCAGUCAGGUCUACCUGCCUUCACUUGCCUGUAGUGGAAGCUGUGAGUUUACUUAGCUAAGAACAAACCUGCGCUGUUUCUAUUCUUAAUGAAUAACUAUUAGUUUUGCUAGAUCUGCACUGAACGUGAGCCUAAGAUGGGCUGCCUAACAGAGCAAAUACAUGAGGAGGAAGAGAAGGGACAGAAUAAUACAAUGCUACACCUCUCAUCUGACCCAUCCGUUGGGUGUUGCAUCAAGCUCAAAGCUACCCAGCCCCAACUGGCCUCCUCUUUUCUCUAGCUAACCCUUAUCUCUCACCCUUUGGGCUCUGGUGUGGUACUAUGCCACUUCUAGCAAAUAUUUCUUCAUAACUUUAACAGUGAUGAAUAGCUCUGUCAGGCACUUUCGGUGGUUUGUAUGCACCAAAAAUAUGAGUUAAGGUCAUGGGCUGUGCCUAGUUCUGGUGUGUGGGUUUCUCAUCCCUGAUUUAUAUACAGAAACAAUAUGACAACGACUUUGGUCAAAGUGGAUGUAAAUCUUUUAAUUUGUGUUCAUCCUGAGAAGACUGUACUCUGAAUAACGUGGAUUUUUA